UCCCGAACGUUAUCGCUACUGCAUGGUGGAAAACGGAUUUCAAAUCGCGGUCGAUCUGUUCCGAAACUGCGCUCAACAAGUAAAAUAUUGUCAAACUUUGGAAGAAAUAACCGAAUUCGUUUGUAAAACUAAAACUAAAGAGGAACACGAGAAAUAUCUGAAAUGUUACGACUCGGCUAUGAGGGCGGAAGCUCGAGCUGAUCCGAAGUUUUUAGAUGUAGCUCAC